AAGCGUCGGUAAGGUGAUAUGAACCGUUAUAACCGGCGAUGUCCGAAUGGGGAAACCCAGUGCAAUUCGUUGCACUAUCGUUAACUGAAUACAUAGGUUUUAAAAUAAAG
rnacentral:rRNA from 1 species